UGUAGGUAAAUAAGAGUUAUCUUGUUCUGCAGAGAAAAGCCUCAGGUGACAGCAGGGCUCCCCAGGAGCAGCUCUCUCCCACGUAUGAGACAUCUUUACACGUGGAAAUUUCCCUUACAAAAGGGUCUAUUUGUACAGCUGCUCCAUGACUUAUGAUGGUGCCUUUUCGACUUACAAUAUUUUCCAUUUAUGAUGGGUUUAUUCUGAGUUAACCCAUUGUAAGUCCAGGAGUGUACUGAAUGCAACAUCACAGCCGAAAAACCCCAAAUUGGACCAUGGGGCUCCAAUCAAGAACCUAGAAGGACAGAAGGAAAAGUUUUUUCCUUUGCUACCCUACGUUACAGAUGAGGAAACUGAGGCUCAGAGAGGGGAAGCGACCUGCCCAAGGUCACACAGCCAGCACAAGGUAGAGCUGGAAUUCGAACCCGGUCUACCUGGCUCUUCUGUUACACUUUCAGUCCCGAUGCUAGCUUUGGUGUGAACCAAACCAGAACACGUCAAGUGUUUAGCACAGCACCAGGCAAACAAAGCUGAGACUGAGGCUCUAAGACUUGAAGGGAUUUGCAGACAUGAGGUGAUUUGUAGGCAUGAGGAUAAAGGAGGGCUGUGACAGCCACUCAGGAACACAGGAGCACAUCCCUGUGCAGGUGAUGUUUGGGGAGACCCUUGACAAGGGGCUAGCCUCUCAACAGGGAGAGGUGGGGAGGUGAGGAGUGAAGGGAAGGGCAAGCUGGGCAGAGGAGACCACGGGAGCAAGGCAGGAAGACAGGUCUGGCUUCUGGUGUCUUUAAGGAGUGGAUGGAGAGGGUGGAAGGAAAAUAGG
rnacentral:lncRNA from 1 species